CUCUGUCAUCGUACCUAAGGUUAAGUGACGGCUUUAUUUAUUACUUAUCUGUAGGUAUCGGUGCUCGUUUGCAAUGUGUCAGAUGUAUCCACGUUGUUCUCUCAGCUAUUCGUACUGCUGUGGGUGUUGAGA